UCUAAAAGAAUUUAUUACUCUACAAAAACUCAAACUCUACCACCAAUUUCAAAAUAUUUCAGUAUUUAUUUAUUAAUAUAAAAAAAUAUUUAUUAAUUAACAUAAAAAGAGUUACAAAAUUGCUAUAUUUUGUAAGGUUUAUUAUUACAAGUUUCAAAUCAACAAUUAGAAAAAAAAGAAAAAAUGAAAAAAAAAAUGAGAGAAGUUACAAAACAUUCAUUGCCUUUUCCUAGUGUGUGUAUAUAUAUAUAUAUUUGUGUGUUUUUUUCCGGAAAUUCAGAUUGUAUUAGGAAAAAAAAAAAAUUAAUGAACAGGUAGAAAUGAAAAAUGGAGCGGACCACCAAACAGUCUUGGAGAGGCCAGUCAAAAACCCAAACAAAAGGCAACAUAAGAGAAGCAGCCCAACCCAUCUUCUUCAUUUAACCUUCUUCUCGGAGUCAAUAUUUUCGGGUAACAGAGAGAUUGCAACGGUUGCUUCGUUGUUUCUACGCAAGGUUGGUUGAUGAAGACGAAUCUGGAAGAUCACAGACAUGGAUAGCCCUAAUUGCAUCCUCUGAUGAGAUCGCAAAUGCUCUGUAAAAAAUUAUUUGAUUGGGUGGAUACAGAGCCUCUGAAAAUUCGAGCGUUGCGCUCUCUCUCCAUAGGGCACAUACAGUGGAAGAUAGAUCCAACUUGUUGAUGGAGUUAUAACAUCUUCUUCCAAUUCCAUGAUUCUUGCUGAGGGGACUCUAAAACCUCUUGUUCAGGACCACCCAAGAUUUGUCAGUCACGCCUCCAUCAUACUAGCGAUGGAGGGAAUUCGCGCCGGGAUGGAACAAGGCCGUUUUGAACAUAUACUACUACUAGUGUUGCUGGAAUGAAACGCAGGAUUCGGAACAGAAUUAUGCUGCUUGCUGGCCCUGAUAGUGGAAGAAUGCGGCAGCAACGCUUUCUCUCGUGUAGCUGUGAUAGCGGAAUUGAAUUGUUUGACUAUUUUUUGUUGACUUUUAUAAUGAAUAGCUUGCAUAAAUAAGAACUAGUUUGUAAAAUAUUAAUUAUUAGUUUUAUUAGGAAUCAAAGGGUUUAUGUCUAAACUGUGUAGAAAAAUAUGUUGCAUCAUUUUCCGUUGUUGAUAUAUCCAGAAAAAGUGUUAAAUAA